GGAGAGGUGGCCGAGUCGGCUGAAGGCACUCGCCUGCUAAGCGAGUGUAGGGGUAAAACCUUACCGUGGGUUCGAAUCCCACCCUCUCCG
rnacentral:tRNA from 1 species